CAUCAUCCCCAAGUGCAGGACUGGACACUGGGCACAGCAUAAACCACAAAAUGGUCUGGAUGAUCCAAUCAAGCAAAAACAUGCAGCACAGACCACGGAGAAAGGGCAAGGAGGUGGCAUAGAAAAAAGGCAUUUUCAGAGGAAAACACAGAAGCAGCUUUCAAAAGCUUUUUCUAUUCCACAAUAAUACAUCCCCCAGAGUGCCAGGAAUCACAGCCAGGACACCUUAAGACAUUUCCCUUGCCUGCAUCAUUGCUUCAACAAAGUGGAAAAGUGGGUGUAGGGAAGGAAGAUGUAUGAAGAGAAAAGCUUUUACAAAACUAACCAGAAUCAGUCUCCUGAGUGACUUGAGCUGCCCAAGAAGGGUCAAUAUGUUCUUUAUUUAGAAGAAAGCAAAUAAAGGAAAAGAGCAAACAAAUGCUUGCAAACAUUCCUCCUCCUUCAGAUUUUUGAAAAUAAUUUCAUGAUUGAAAACAGGAAGAAAAAGGCCAGAGGUCUUAACAGAGUUAAAGCAAGCAGAGAUAGUAUCAAGUUGAAGGAGACAAAGGGGAUGCAAAGACAUCAAAUCCAAAUUUCAAUCAGAAAACCAACAUGCUUAAAACAGGGCUUUUUGUCCAAUUCUGUUCUAGAGAGGCUCUGAUCACCCCCUGGUGUCUCUGACCAAAGACAUUGAGCCUGUGACUACAGAUCAGCAAUUCUCCCUCCCAACAGCGUGAACCUGGUAUUUAAGUAAUGUUAAUACUACAGUAGAUGUUUCUAGUAGAGAAAUAGGAAAGAUUUAUAAUAUUUAAAAAGUGUUGAUGGAUCUAAAUAGUCCAACCUUACUGCAGCCCCCUUACUCGAGGUGCCAAAGGGGCCUGAAGGAAGCUGAUGUUAUGCAAGAGUAAAUUUGUUUCAGCUCAGUGUUGGCACCACUACUGUUAUCAUAGAGUAACCAAACCUUAAAAACAGAUUGAGUCCAAGCCAUGUCUUCUCUGAAGAUUAUGGAUUUGGGAUCCAACUUUCCUUAAGACUAAUGAGCUCUUGCCUUACCUUAAAAUGACAGAACAAGACAAAAGAGCACACCAUUACUUAUUUAGCACAGGAUAAAGCUCUGUGUUUAGCAGGUCUCAAGCAGACAUUAUUAGUGUUAAGUGCCUAAAUUUAGUCAGGUGCUAUUCCAACUUUGCCAACAUCCACAAUGUAUCAAUCCUUCUAUCCAGCCUAUUUUGACAGUUUCUUCAAUAUCCGAGGUCAGGCUGUGUGACUGCUUGUAGAACUUAACCAUUUUCUAUUUUCUCACAACAUUCAGAGUUCUUGAGAUUAUUCACAGCUCAGAUAAGGAGGAAGUUCCUGUAGAUACUUGAUCUGAAUGCAGUGUUCCUCCUCCCCCAGGAAGUGAGCCCACACAUGAUGCAGGCAUAGGAAAUUCGGUCACUUGGGUACCCAGGGGAGGGAGGGACUGCAGCUUAUCCCUCUGCUCUGAUCAUGGACCACCUUCACAACUCAACAGAUGCAGCUCAAAAAUACCAGCUCAGGGCAAACAGGUGCAGGUACCUGGACCCUGAGCUCACAAACAAGAGGGACAUCAGGUGCAGACACCCUGCUGAGAAGCUUCUUUGGCUGAAGAAACAAAACCCUCUUCAGAGUGCAGCAUUCUUCCCCUCUGCCAUUGCUGUUGCAGUGCAGAUGUCUGGAAGUUCACGCCGCUGGUGGACGUUUGCAGAGUGAAUCAUGGGGCACCACUUUCCAUUUUGACAAAAACAACUGCUGCUCAGUCAACAAGAUGCUGCUGAUCAAAUGUGUGGAAGGAACUCCUGCAACUGUUGCCAAAAGGCUCCACCAGCACAAGCAAGCUGUGUGAGCUGGCUUGGACAACUGGGAUUUAUUUUUCCUUCGCUGUUCUCAAGAGACUACUCACAUUUUUGUGUUCCUACUCAACACCUGAGGAGCUCAGCCUGUGGCUACCAGCUUUGACCUGCAAGUGGAGAAAAUGCUUGUUGCUGGAAGAGGCUAGAAUAAUUAAAUUGAAAUGAAAAAAAGGCAGAUAAUGCUUUAUGGAACAUAGAGUGCUAUAGAAGACAAGAAAAACAGCUUCCUCUGGUGCCUAUUGCCAAAAUUUCAGAAGACCAGACAACAACUUGAGAAUUUCCAAGGGAACAGCCACUGAGUCAGUCAAAAAUAGAAUUAGGAAACUGCCUGUUCCAAAAGUAAGUCUGUAAGAUGUGCCAGCAUUUUUCAGUAUUUCUGUCAUUUCCGAGUAGAACACUCAAGAGUUAACAACUAUUUAUCUACCUCUCCCAAAAAAAAAAAAAAGCCAAUCCACAGAAAAAGGCAAAAUGAGAAAGGAAAUCUGUGUAGCAAAGAAACACUCAUCACACUUCAUGUACUUAAAAUAAAAAUCACUGAUCAUUUUUGCACACAUUUAUGCAAAGUUUAUUAUUCUUUGCAAUUUUCAAAUGUCUCUACUUCCUUCGGCAUCAUCAACAAUCAAGAAGAGCUUUCCUGCAGUCACCCUAUUAUUCAAAAUGUGGGUAAAUCUAAACAUGCAAAAAAGGCAAUACUAAGCACUCUUCCCCAAAAGAGGACAAUAAGACUUAGACUGUUCUGUUUGUUCUUUUUUACUAGCUGAUUUUUUUAAAUUUUAUUUCAAUAAUUAAAAGCAAGAAAGACUUAAGGGAAAGGGAGUAACUUUCUAUUUCAUUAUUCCUUGCUGUUUUCUGCUAUAUAGGUUAUAAUGUGGCACUCAUUAACAAUUCAUAGAGAAUUACCACGUUCAAGUAGCACAGCAAGUUUUUACUGCCUACACCCAGGCAAAAUCCUGCACAACCCUACUUGCUCCCUUUACUUGUCCCAGAGGGAUCUCAUGCUGGAAAAGCUGGCAUUUUAUCACCUAACAGGAGAGAAAUUCCAACAGGUUAGAAACUCCAAGGAGCCCAGAACAGAAAAACAUUCCAUUAAAUCACUGACAAUGCAGAGCUGCAGAGCAAAAUGAAGUACUAGAGAAGACACGUGCUGGAGACUGCCUUGGAAUUAAAAACCCCGAUGGGAUUCUGGAGCAAUGUCCCACUGCUUUGAACUUCUCGGUGCGUUUCAGGGGGAUGCAAAUGACAGACCUGAGGUAUCGGCUUUGUUUCCGAGGGAUUCGUGCUGGAAGUGCCGACAGCCGGAACGGGAGCGGAGCUGUGGGAUCAUCACGGGGAGCGCAGCAGGAACCAAACCAGGACAAAUCCACAGAGGGAGCUCCGGAAGCACGAGGAGUUCAAGUCCCAGGAGAGGAACAAGGCCUCUAAUGCAGAUCAGGAUUGCAGAAAAAAGGCUCUUGGCAAUAUUUGAUUCCCCACAGAGCAAUGCCUUGGAGUUCCCAACUCGUGUUUCCUCUCGGCAUCUUUUACAGACACUUGAUCAGAAUCACUUGAUCAUUGUAGUAGCUUACUAACUCAUCUAUUUUACAGGUCAGGAAAUAAAAUCACCUAAAUUACUGAAUAAAUAUCACAAAUUA